AUUGUGCUGCCGAACGGAACCGGCGACGGGUGCGUAACACGUAUGUAACCUACCUCUAACUGGGGCAUAGCCCGAAGAAAUUCGGAUUAAUACCCCAUAAUAUUAUCUAAAGGCAUCUUUUAAUAAUUAAAGUUCCGGCGGUUAGAGAUGGACAUGCGGUCCAUUAGCUUGUUGGUGAGGUAACGGCUCACCAAGGCAACGAUGGAUAGGGGGUCUGAGAGGAUGAUCCCCCACACUGGUACUGAGACACGGACCAGACUCCUACGGGAGGCAGCAGUAGGGAAUAUUGGACAAUGGGCGAAAGCCUGAUCCAGCCAUGCCGCGUGCAGGAUGACUGCCCUAUGGGUUGUAAACUGCUUUUAUAUGGGAAGAAACACUCCGACGUGUCGGAGCUUGACGGUACCAUACGAAUAAGGAUCGGCUAACUCCGUGCCAGCAGCCGCGGUAAUACGGAGGAUCCAAGCGUUGUCCGGAUUUAUUGGGUUUAAAGGGUGCGUAGGCGGAUUAAUAAGUCAGUGGUGAAAGCCUGCAGCUUAACUGUAGAAUUGCCAUUGAAACUGUUAGUCUUGAGUUUGGUCGAGGUAGAUGGAAUGUAUCAUGUAGCGGUGAAAUGCUUAGAUAUGAUACAGAACACCGAUUGCGAAGGCAGUCUACUAGGCCAAUACUGACGCUGAGGCACGAAAGCAUGGGUAUCGAACAGGAUUAGAUACCCUGGUAGUCCAUGCUGUAAACGAUGAAUACUCGAUGUUGGCGAUAUACUGUCAGCGUUCAAGCGAAAGCAUUAAGUAUUCCACCUGGGGAGUACGAUCGCAAGGUUGAAACUCAAAGGAAUUGACGGGGGCCCGCACAAGCGGUGGAGCAUGUGGUUUAAUUCGAUGGUACGCGAGGAACCUUACCUGGGCUUAAAUGGUAUGGGACCGUUGCCGAAGGUGACUUUCUUUAUGACCGAUAUCAAGGUGCUGCAUGGCUGUCGUCAGCUCGUGCCGUGAGUGUUGGGUUAAG
rnacentral:rRNA from 1 species